rnacentral:rRNA from 1 species
UACGUAGGGGGCAAGCGUUGUCCGGAUUUAUUGGGCGUAAGGAGCGUGUAGGCGGCUUCACAGGUCCGCUGUGAAAACUCGAGGCUCAACCUCGAGAUGUCGGUGGAAACCGUGUGGCUAGAGUCCGGAAGAGGAGAGUGGAAUUCCCGGUGUAGCGGUGAAAUGCGCAGAUAUCGGGAAGAACACCCGUGGCGAAGGCGGCUCUCUGGGACGGUACUGACGCUGAGACGCGAAAGCGUGGGGAGCGAACAGG